ensembl:lncRNA
CAGACAUAUCCGCAUGUUUACCGGUGACCAGAAGGCCAGCUUGCCUGCAUUGUCUUGUAGCCCUGAAGCUAGUUGUCCUCCCUGUGUCUGGUGGCCUCCCCUCAUUAUGGCCAGUCUUGGCCUCAGUGAUAUGGCUGAAGCUGCUUCUCUUCUUUCUCCCCAAGUGAUGCCCAUCGAAAAUCACAGAAGAGGAGACAAUUCUUGCAGGAGAGAAAAGAAAAAAAAAACCUCUACAUAGUGUGAGAAAGGAGAGGGGCCUGCAGUAGAGAUGGAGGAUGGCAGGAGCCAAUGGCUGGGAGAGUGUCAAGUAAUCACUCCAUUCCUUCUGAAGGGUCCAAAUCUUUUCAGAAGGGCCCUGUCUUCCACCAGUUUGUUCAUAUUUAAGAAAUGCAUUCUUGAAUAACUAACAUUCUUUUAUCUUCUCCUCUCCCAUAAAAACCAUUCUUAUGAUUUGAAAAUGUUCUAAUAAACUUGGGUUACACAUGGAAACUUACACACUGCCAUAUGUAAAAUAGAUAGUCGAUGAGAAUUUGCUCUUUGACUCAGGAAACUCGUGCCGGGGCUCUGUAACAACCUAGAGGGGU